rnacentral:rRNA from 1 species
UACGGAGGGGGCUAGCGUUGUUCGGAAUUACUGGGCGCAAAGCGCACGUAGGCGGCUUUGUAAGUUAGAGGUGAAAGCCCGGGGCUCAACUCCGGAAUUGCCUUUAAGACUGCAUCGCUAGAAUUGUGGAGAGGUAAGUGGAAUUCCGAGUGUAGAGGUGAAAUUCGUAGAUAUUCGGAAGAACACCAGUGGCGAAGGCGAUUUACUGGACACAUAUUGACGCUGAGGUGCGAAAGCGUGGGGAGCAAACAGG